UGGGGAAUUUUGCACAAUGGGGGAAACCCUGAUGCAGCGACGCCGCGUGAUUUAGAAGGCCUUCGGGUUGUAAAAAUCUUUUCUAUGGGAAGAAAAUGACAGUACCAUAGGAAUAAGGACCGGCUAAUUACGUGCCAGCAGCCGCGGUAAUACGUAAGGUCCGAGCGUUGUCCGGAAUCAUUGGGCGUAAAGGGUACGUAGGCGGGUAAGCAAGUUAGAAGUGAAAUCCUAUAGCUCAACUAUAGUAAGCUUUUAAAACUGCUCAUCUUGAGAUAUGGAAGGGAAAGUGGAAUUCCUAGUGUAGCGGUGUAAUGCGCAGAUAUUAGGAGGAGUACCGGUGGCGAAGGCGACUUUCUGGCCAUAACCUGACGCUGAGGUACGAAAGCGUGGGUAGCAAAGAGG
rnacentral:rRNA from 1 species